rnacentral:rRNA from 1 species
AACAAACGCUGGCGGCGUGCCUAACACAUGCAAGUCGUACGAGAAAGGGUCCUUCGGGGCCUGAGUAAAGUGGCGCACGGGUGAGUAACGCGUGGAUAAUCUGCCCUUCAGUUGGGAAUAACUCAUCGAAAGGUGGGCUAAUACCGAAUAAUGCUGUGAGACCUCGGUUGAUCAGCCAAAGAGAGCCUCUGCUUGCAAGCCCUCGCUGAAGGAUGAGUCCGCGUACCACUAGCUAGUUGGUAGGGUAAUGGCCUACCAAGGCGACGAUGGUUAGCUGGUCUGAGAGGAUGAUCAGCCACACUGGAACUGAGACACGGUCCAGACUCCUACGGGAGGCAGCAGUGAGGAAUCUUGCGCAAUGGGGGCAACCCUGACGCAGCAACGCCGCGUGAGUGAGGAAGGUCUUCGGAUCGUAAAGCUCUGUCGGAUGGAAAGAACCGCAUAGGGGUAAACAGCCCCUGUGUCUGACGGUACCAUCAAAGGAAGCACCGGCUAACUCCGUGCCAGCAGCCGCCGCGGUAA